rnacentral:rRNA from 1 species
UACAGAGGGUGCAAGCGUUGUUCGGAAUUACUGGGCGUAAAGCGCGUGUAGGCUGCCAGGUCAGUCAGAUGUGAAAGCCCUUGGCUCAACCAAGGAAGUGCAUCUGAUACUGCCUCGCUGGAGUGCCGGAGGGGGUGGCGGAAUUCCCGGUGUAGAGGUGAAAUUCGUAGAUAUCGGGAGGAACACCUGUGGCGAAGGCGGCCACCUGGACGACAACUGACGCUGAGGCGCGAAAGCGUGGGUAGCAAACAGG